GGAAAGUAAACGCGGAUCAAACCGCGACUUCUAAAACCUUUGACGAUUGACUUAUGUUGCCUCGGCGGGUUCUCCCGCCAGAGGAUAUAUCAAAACUCCUGUUUUAACGGUGCUGUCUGAGCUACAAGCAACGAAUCAAAACUUUCAACAACGGAUCUCUUGGUUCUGGCAUCGAUGAAGAACGCAGCGAAAUGCGAUAAGUAGUGUGAAUUGCAGAAUUCAGUGAAUCAUCGAAUCUUUGAACGCACAUUGCGCCCCUUGGUAUCCCGAGGGGCAUGCCUGUUCGAGCGUCAUUUCACCACUCAAGCCUGGCUUGGUGUUGGGCGACGUCCCCUAGGGACGCGCCUCGAAACGCUCGGCGGCGUGGCACCGGCUUUAAGCGUAGCAGAAUCUUUCGCUUUGAAAGUCGGGGCCCCGUCUACCGGAAGACCUACUCGCAAGGUGACC
rnacentral:rRNA from 1 species